rnacentral:rRNA from 1 species
GGUCAAUUAUUUAUAGCCUCUGGCUAUAGGAAAUUGUUAGUGGCAGACGGGUGAGUAAUGCGUAGGAAUCUACCUAGUAGUACGGAAUAGCCAUUAGAAAUGGUGGGUAAUACUGUAUAAUCCCCGAGGGGGAAAGAUUUAUCGCUAUUAGAUGAGCCUACGUUAGAUUAGCUAGUUGGUGAGGUAAUGGCUUACCAAGGCUAUGAUCUAUAGCUGGUCUGAGAGGACGAUCAGCCACACUGGAACUGAGAUACGGUCCAGACUCCUACGGGAGGCAGCAGUGGGGAAUAUUGGACAAUGGGCGAAAGCCUGAUCCAGCUAUGCCGCGUGAGUGAAGAAGGCCUUCGGGUUGUAAAACUCUUUCAAUAGGGAAGAUAAUGACGGUACCUAUA